rnacentral:rRNA from 1 species
CACUUUUUCCCUAGUAGAAAGUCGCGACCCGCUGAGGGUUGAUUUGUGGUGUGAAAGAUAGCCUCUGAUAUUGCUUGCAAUAUGGGGAAUUUUGGGAAUCCUGAUCGGCUGCUUGACGGUACUCCACAUGAUAUUGAGUCGCAUUUUUUUGCGUUAAAUCUACUGCAAGGGCGGUUAAUGUUUAGCAGUGUGGAUAUAAUUCCAUCGCUGAUGUUGACCCGCUGUUGGCAAGUAGAAUUCUUUAACUGACUUAUUACCAGUCAGCGAUG